rnacentral:lncRNA from 1 species
CCUGAGCCUUGGAAAUGACUUCCGAAGGCACGGCCUCAGCCCUGUGAUCAUGGACUCUGAUAAUCAACCAGGUUUUCGUUUUCAAAAUGUUUGACACUGAGGUGAAUGAGUUUCUGCUUAACUGGAACAAGAGAAAAAAAAGGAAGAAAUUGAGAAAG